AGUAUGUAGAUGUUGUCUUAAAUUAUGUACUGCUGUUUGUGACUUGUAUAUUUUUGUUACAUGUGAAUGAUACUAUAUUGAUGGCGUCAUGCUUGGCCUCUAGUGAAUUAGGAGUAAUUUGUGAUGGAUUGUUACAAAAUUGGAUAAUUCUCCAUCAGUACGAUGUAGUGUAUUACUGUAUUACCUUCUUGGAGUAGCAAUUCAGAGUGAUACCCUAAAUUUAUUUUUUGGUUCCUCUACAGGCCUCCACCUCUUCCUAAUCUAGAGGUUUCAGUUAUGGUUGUUGAGAAAGCUGCAGAUCAUGCUCUUGUAUGGAUCAAUAGGUUGCUCGCUGUUGGCGAUGGCAUCGCAAUUAAGAGAGAUGGGAGAGUUUUUAUACAGGACACCUGCUCAAGCGUGGGUUCUGCUUGCUAUUUCCAUGUGGCCUUGUUGCACAGUUGAUGCUCCUUGGGCUGGAUGUGAUCUGCUGAUACAUUCCUGGCAAGUUCUUCAGGAGAGGUAGUGGCUGGGUGCAAAGGAAUUUAUGAUAUGGAAGGCUUAAGUAGUGCUCUGUACCACAACACAAUGUUGUAGAAAAGAUAGCUACUGAUGCUCAGUGCUCUGGCGUUCUGCGCAAGCUGCUAAACUAAGGAAUCUGGCCUCCUCUGCUACCUUCCUACAAAUACCUAAGCAAUUCUGUAGAACUUGAGACUGGCAAUUAUGAAGAACUUCAAAUGGUGAGGUCAGGGUAGCAGUAAAAUGGCAUUGCAUUUGACUGACAAAGUGGCAACAUGGUUCUCGUGAAAUUCAGGACUGUUAUAAUUAGGCAUAAAGCCUUUGGUUAAUAUAGAAGCCUGCCAGGUAACAAUCAGUUACCAAAUUAUUUAGAACUGUUGAUGACCUGACUUUUAGUUUUGGUGGAGCAGUUGAAGGGAGCCAAUAAGGGACUUUUCAGAUUAAUUUUCCCUAGCAGAUUAAUUUGAUACUUGCUCUGCAUGGCUGCAUACUGAAUGAUCUAUGGUGAAUGGGAGCACCUGUAUCCAUGUCCUACCAAAUCCGAUUUGAGAUGCUGUACAUGUCUGAUUUCUGUGUAGUGCAACAUUGGAUCCAUUUUGGUUCAUUAUCCAUGUCCUGCUAACGAUGUUCAACCCCACAAUAUUAUUUGCUUCGUGUCAAGGAGCACCUGUGCACUAAUGCCAUAUGGAUGCCCAGUGUUUCACAAGAUUUUAGGCAAUUAUUAUUGUGAUUACCAUUUAUCAAAAAAAAAAACCCUGCUGUUUACCAGUAAAGAUAACUUAGUAAGUUUAUGAGCUAGUGGCUUGUUCUGUUCUUCUGUUUAUGAGCUAAUCGGCUUUUACUGUUUUCAUAAUCGGCUUUUACUGUUUCAUGCACAUAUACAUAUCAUAUAUUAAUCAAAGUAUCAGUGCCUUCUCAUGAUUACACAAUAGAACUCAUGCACAUAUACUGCAGCUAUUUGUUUCUUUUUUAUCUACAGGCUUACACAGCUUUGGAGAAAAACAUGAUAUAUUCCUUACUAAGAGUAGUGCUUUUGCUGGUUUGGAAAUGGGAACGGUGGGUGAUUGACUUCAAUCUUAUCCUCUAGGUCAGUACUAUGUUUUUCAUUCCUAUAUUAUCAACUCAUUUUUCCCAUACAUGUGCAACUCAGCAACCUAUUCUAUCUUGCCAUCUUGGUGCCUAAUAUGAACCUGCUGCAUCCAUCACUAUUGCAUAGAUCAAUGUGAAGUAACAAAAAAAAGACCAUGCUUUAUAAUCUGAACCAUGUGUGAUUGGCCAUAUAAAAUUUCUUUUAGCAAUGUCUUUUGUCUGCUUCCACAUUUCCAAAUCCAUUUGUUUCUCAAAAAGUUAUUAAAUUAGGGGAUAAUAUAUAUGUGAAUUUGAAUUUGAAACUAGAGAUCACCUUCGGAGUCACAAGAAUGAUCUGUCGAUGUUGUAGCUCCUUACUGUUGGUGGCACAAAAAUACAGAGUGCCCAAAAUGUAGCCAGAAAGUUCUUCCAAGCCAACUUGUAAAAAUUACAAAACUAACUUACUUGAAAACAUACUUACUGCAGCUGAAGAAACAGAGUAUACUUACUGCAGCUGAAGAAACAGAUUAUACUUACUGCUACAUUGUUUUUAAUCUAGGGAGUAAUAUCUUCAAACUGCAUGUGGGUUACUUUUCAGUCUAGAGAUCUGAUUCAGUUUAUCCGUAGAGAUCUACGGCUACAACCGACUUCUGUAGAUGCUAACUUUUCAUCAGGAUGAACUGAAUUUAUAUUUUGGGCUUGUGUAUAUCUUCCACUCCUAGUCAAUAUGCAUCCACCACUGUGCGUUCAGCUCUAAAAUGUCUAUUUGUCAUCCUACCCAGAGUACAAAUUGCAUGACCAAUUGACUGAUGUCCUGCAAUGAUGCUUUAAUAUACUUACAUUCUGUACUCCACCAUUAAACUGUAAAUUCGCUGGUUAAAUUAAUCUUUGUAAUAAGUUCAGUAUACUCCA